rnacentral:rRNA from 1 species
GACGAACGCUGGCGGCGUGCUUAACACAUGCAAGUCGAACGGAAAGGCCCUGCUUUUGUGGGGUGCUCGAGUGGCGAACGGGUGAGUAACACGUGAGUAACCUGCCCUUGACUUUGGGAUAACUUCAGGAAACUGGGGCUAAUACCGGAUAGGAGCUCCUGCGGCAUGGGGGGGGUUGGAAAGGUUCGGCGGUUGGGGAUGGACUCGCGGGUUAUCAGCUUGUUGGUGGGGUAGUGGCUUACCAAGGCUUUGACGGGUAGCCGGCCUGAGAGGGUGACCGGCAACAUUGGGACUGAGAUACGGCCCAGACGCCUACGGGAGGCAGCAGUGGGGAAAAUUGCACAAUGGGCGGAAGCCUGAUGCAGCAACGCCGCGUGCGGGAUGACGGCCUUCGGGUUGUAAACCGCUUUCGCCUGUGACGAAGCGUGAGUGACGGUAAUGGGUAAAGAAGCACCGGCUAACUACGUG